GUUGUAUGGUUAAGUGACUAAGCGUACAUGGUGGAUGCCUUGGCAGUCAGAGGCGAUGAAGGACGUACUAACCUGCGAUAAGCCGUGAGCAGUCGGUAAGAGACAUUACGACUCACGGAUUUCCGAAUGGGGAAACCCACUUAGCAUAAGCUAGGUAUCGCUACGUGAAUACAUAGCGUAGCGAGGCGAACCGGGAGAACUGAAACAUCUAAGUACCCCGAGGAAAAGAAAUCAACCGAGAUUCCCUCAGUAGCGGCGAGCGAACGGGGAUUAGCCCUUAAGCAUCUUGGAAGUUAGUGGAACGGUCCUGGAAAGGCCGGCGAUACAGGGUGAUAGCCCCGUACACGAAAACAACCUUGAUGUGAAAUCGAGUAGGGCGGGACACGUGACAUCCUGUCUGAAUAUGGGGGGACCAUCCUCCAAGGCUAAAUACUCCUGACUGACCGAUAGUGAACCAGUACCGUGAGGGAAAGGCGAAAAGAACCCCUGUGAGGGGAGUGAAAUAGAACCUGAAACCGUGUACGUACAAGCAGUGGGAGCCCUUCGGGGUGACUGCGUACCUUUUGUAUAAUGGGUCAGCGACUUACAUUUUGUAGCGAGGUUAACCGUAUAGGGGAGCCGUAGGGAAACCGAGUCUUAACUGGGCGUCUAGUUGCAAGGUGUAGACCCGAAACCGGGUGAUCUAGCCAUGGGCAGGUUGAAGGUUGAGUAACAUCAACUGGAGGACCGAACCCACUAACGUUGCAAAGUUAGGGGAUGACCUGUGGCUGGGGGUGAAAGGCCAAUCAAACUCGGAGAUAGCUGGUUCUCCCCGAAAGCUAUUUAGGUAGCGCCUCGGACGAAUACUACUGGGGGUAGAGCACUGUUUGGGCUAGGGGGUCAUCCCGACUUACCAACCCCAUGCAAACUCCGAAUACCAGUAAGUAAUAUCCGGGAGACACACGGCGGGUGCUAACGUCCGUCGUGAAGAGGGAAACAACCCAGACCGCCGGCUAAGGUCCCAAAGUUCUGGUUAAGUGGGAAACGAUGUGGGAAGGCUCAGACAGCUAGGAUGUUGGCUUAGAAGCAGCCAUCAUUUAAAGAAAGCGUAAUAGCUCACUAGUCGAGUCGGCCUGCGCGGAAGAUGUAACGGGGCUCAAACCAGGCACCGAAGCCGCGGAUUCACGCUAAGCGUGAGUGGUAGGGGAGCGUUCUGUAAGUCUGCGAAGGUGUGUCGAGAGGCAUGCUGGAGAUAUCAGAAGUGCGAAUGCUGACGUAAGUAACGAUAAAGGGGGUGAAAAGCCUCCUCGCCGGAAGACCAAGGGUUCCUGUCCAACGUUAAUCGGGGCAGGGUGAGUCGACCCCUAAGGUGAGGCCGAAAGGCGUAAUCGAUGGGAAGCAGGUUAAUAUUCCUGCACGACUUGUAAUUGCGAUGGGGGGACGGAGAAGGCUAGGUGGGCCAGGCGACGGUUGUCCUGGUGAAAGUGCGUAGGUGGUGUUUCUAGGCAAAUCCGGAGACACAACACUGAGACACGAGACGAACGCACGACGGUGCGGAAGCCAUUGAUGCCCUGCUUCCAGGAAAAGCCUCUAAGCUUCAGAUUACAAGUCAUCGUACCCCAAACCGACACAGGUGGUCGGGUAGAGAAUACCAAGGCGCUUGAGAGAACUCGGGUGAAGGAACUAGGCAAAAUAGUACCGUAACUUCGGGAGAAGGUACGCUCUUGUUGGUGAAGUCCCUUGCGGAUGGAGCUGACGGGAGUCGCAGUGACCAGAUGGCUGGGACUGUUUAUCAAAAACACAGCACUCUGCAAACACGAAAGUGGACGUAUAGGGUGUGACACCUGCCCGGUGCCGGAAGGUUAAUUGAUGGGGUUAGCGCAAGCGAAGCUCUUGAUCGAAGCCCCGGUAAACGGCGGCCGUAACUAUAACGGUCCUAAGGUAGCGAAAUUCCUUGUCGGGUAAGUUCCGACCUGCACGAAUGGUGUAACCAUGGCCAUGCUGUCUCCACCCGAGACUCAGUGAAAUCGAAUUCGCCGUGAAGAUGCGGUGUACCCGCGGCUAGACGGAAAGACCCCGUGAACCUUUACUACAGCUUGGCACUGAACAUUGAACCUACAUGUGUAGGAUAGGUGGGAGGCUUUGAAGGCGUGACGCCAGUUGCGCUGGAGCCGUCCUUGAAAUACCACCCUUGUAUGUUUGAUGUUCUAACGCAGGGCCCUGAAUCGGGCUCGCGGACAGUGCCUGGUGGGUAGUUUGACUGGGGCGGUCUCCUCCCAAAGAGUAACGGAGGAGCACGAAGGUUGGCUAAUCCUGGUCGGACAUCAGGAGGUUAGUGCAAUGGCAUAAGCCAGCUUAACUGCGAGACGGACAGGUCGAGCAGGUACGAAAGUAGGUCAUAGUGAUCCGGUGGUUCUGAAUGGAAGGGCCAUCGCUCAACGGAUAAAAGGUACUCCGGGGAUAACAGGCUGAUACCGCCCAAGAGUUCAUAUCGACGGCGGUGUUUGGCACCUCGAUGUCGGCUCAUCACAUCCUGGGGCUGAAGUCGGUCCCAAGGGUAUGGCUGUUCGCCAUUUAAAGUGGUACGCGAGCUGGGUUCAGAACGUCGUGAGACAGUUCGGUCCCUAUCUGCCGUGGGCGUUGGAUGAUUGAAGGGAGUUGCUCCUAGUACGAGAGGACCGGAGUGAACGAACCUCUGGUGUUCGGGUUGUCACGCCAGUGGCACUGCCCGGUAGCUAAGUUCGGAAUCGAUAACCGCUGAAAGCAUCUAAGCGGGAAGCGAGCCCUGAGAUGAGUCAUCCCUGACCCCUUGAGGGUCCUAAAGGGCCGUUGGAGACCACAACGUUGAUAGGUGGGGUGUGUAAGCGCGGCGACGUGUUGAGCUAACCCAUACUAAUUACCCGUGAGGCUUAACCAUACAACACCCAAGAAGUGUUC
rnacentral:rRNA from 1 species